GGAGUUGUAGCUCAGAUGGUUAGAGCGCCGGCCUGUCACGCCGGAGGCCGCGGGUUCAAGUCCCGUCAACUUCGCCA
rnacentral:tRNA from 1 species